rnacentral:tRNA from 1 species
GCCUGGCUGGCUCAGUCAGUAGACCAUGAGAUUCUUGAUCUCAGGGAUGUGAGUUCAAAUCCCAUGCUGAGCA